rnacentral:rRNA from 1 species
AACGAACGCUGGCGGCAGGCUUAACACAUGCAAGUCGAGCGCCCCGCAAGGGGAGCGGCAGACGGGUGAGUAACGCGUGGGAACGUACCCUUUGCUACGGAAUAGCUCCGGGAAACUGGAAUUAAUACCGUAUGUGCCCUACGGGGGAAGGAUUUGUCGGCAAAGGAUCGGCCCGCGUUGGAUUAGCUAGUUGGUGGGGUAAUGGCCUACCAAGGCGACGAUCCAUAGCUGGUCUGAGAGGAUGAUCAGCCACAUUGGGACUGAGACACGGCCCAAACUCCUACGGGAGGCAGCAGUGGGGAAUAUUUGACAAUGGGCGCAAGCCUGAUCCAGCCAUGCCGCGUGAGUGAUGAAGGCCUUAGGGUUGUAAAGCUCUUUCACCGGAGAAGAUAAUGACGGUAUCCGGAGAAGAAGCCCCGGCUAACUUCGUGCCAGCCGCCGCAGUAACAC